rnacentral:rRNA from 1 species
UACGGGGGGGGCAAGCGUUGUUCGGAAUUACUGGGCGUAAAGGGCUCGUAGGCGGCCAACUAAGUCGGACGUGAAAUCCCUCAGCUUAACUGGGGAACUGCGUCCGAUACUGGAUGGCUUGGAUUCGGGAGAGGGAUGCGGAAUUCCAGGUGUAGCGGUGAAAUGCGUAGAUAUCGAGAGGAACACCUGCGGCGAAGGCGGGUUGCUGGGCUGAUACUGACGCUGAGGCGCGAAAGCCAGGGGAGCGAACGGG